GGUUAUAGCUCAGUGGUAAAGUACAUGCUUAGUAUGCACAAGAUCCUGGGUUCAAUUCCCAGUACCUCCA
rnacentral:tRNA from 1 species